rnacentral:rRNA from 1 species
GAUGAACGCUGGCGGCGUGCCUAAUACAUGCAAGUCGAGCGAACGGACGAGAAGCUUGCUUCUCUGAUGUUAGCGGCGGACGGGUGAGUAACACGUGGAUAACCUACAUAUAAGACUAGGAUAACUUCGGGAAACCGUAGCUAAUACCGGAUAAUAUUUUGAACCGCAUGGUUCAAAAGUGAAAGACGGUCUUGCUGUCACUUAUAGAUGGAUCCGCGCUGCAUUAGCUAGUUGGUAAGGUAACGGCUUACCAAGGCAACGAUGCAUAGCCGACCUGAGAGGGGGAUCGGCCACACUGGAACUGAGACACGGGCCAGACUCCGACGGGAGGCAGCAGUAGGGAAUCUUCCGCAAUGGGCGAAAGCCUGACGGAGCAACGCCGCGUGAGUGAUGAAGGUCUUCGGAUCGUAAAACUCUGUUAUUAGGGAAGAACAUAUGUGUAAGUAACUGUGCACAUCUUGACGGUACCUAAUCAGAAAGCCACGGCUAACUACGUG